AUUCCUUUAGUAUUAAUAAGUACAGUUGACUUCCAAUCAACUAGUUUCGGUGUAGUCCGAAAAGGGAUA
rnacentral:tRNA from 1 species